rnacentral:rRNA from 1 species
RAGUUUGAUCCUGGCUCAKAACGAACGCUGGCGGCGUGCUUAACACAUGCAAGUCGAACGUGAUCCAGAGCUUGCUCUGGUGAAAGUGGCGCACGGGUGAGUAACGCGUGGAUAACCUGCCCUGGUAUCUGGGAUAACAUCUCGAAAGGGGUGCUAAUACCGGAUAAGCCUACGGGGKCCUCGGACUCUGCAGGAAAAGAUGGCCUCUAUUUAUAAGCUAUCGUAUCAGGAUGGGUCCGCGUACCAUUAKCUAGUUGGUGGGGUAAUGGSCUACCAAGGCUACKAUGGUUAGCUGGUCUGARAGGAUGAUCASCCMCWYUGGAACUGAGACMCGGKCCASACUCCUACGGGAGGSAGCAGUGGGGAAUCUUCCGCAAUGGGCGAAARCCUGACGGAGUGACGCCSCGUGGGGGACGAAGGCCUUCGGGUCGUAAACCCCUGUCAGAGGGAAAGAAAUGAGUCUGGCUAAUAUCCAGAUUUCUUGACGGUACCCUCAAAGGAAGCACCGGCUAACUCCGKGCCARCASCCGCGGUAAUAC